UGCUCCGAAAAGGAAAAACUGUACAGGUUUACAAAUAAUGUACAUCAACAAUCUCUUUUUUUCUUCGUUUUGCGGUGGGAGGAACCGAGACGGAUUUUUCACUUCCACAAAAAAAUUCCUGUCUACAGGGCUUAUUCACCCUUUCAAUGUAUAUGGCAUCUCUUUCCUGGUCCGUCGCUUUGUUCCAUAUUUACUUAUGGAGGAGGGACGACAUUGUCUCGUGCACGCAUAUCAUGAGAAGCUCAAAGAACACUUGGCCAAAGUUGAUAGAUGAACAACAACUGCUUCGUCCAUACACAGAUUUGUAUCGAUGGUCGAUCGAACUUGAGAGAAUAUUAAUUCUACCUUUAACUUCUUGUUGGGUUCGACACUUUUAUUUAUUAAAAAAGGCUACAGACAAUUCCCUGUACUUGUGGGUUAUCAUAACUCAACCAUGAGGGGCCGAACCUUGGUAAAUUCUCCAUCUGUGAUCCCUUCAUGGAACUUCUUUUCAUGCUAUCCACUCUACCAGGACUGUUGAUGGCUUUCAGCACCGUCAAAUUGCUUGAUGAAGACUCAGAGAAGAGGGCCUAUUGGGUCGUAUCCUCGUCAUGGGCCUACCCAGGGGAUCCAGCCGACAAAUGUAUUCCCUAUAUAGUUGUACAUACUUGCUACGAAAACUUGCAUAACAUAUUUUGUCCUACCCUUUUGUGUUUGCGCGAUUAUAAUUGGAAUUAAGGGUAAUUAAGGGUAAUUAAGGCACUCCUUUUACAAAACACUAGAAAAAAACAUUAACAAUUGAUGAUUAUAUGUAAUCCUCAAAUUAUCCGAAUUUCCAUUGAUAUCACGAUCAUGUCACCUCAGGUUCUAUGGUGCGAACCUAUAACAUGUGCAUGCAACUUGCAAGUAUGAUCCAACACUAUUGCAUAAUUUUAUAUAGUCAUCGGUUCAUCAGUGACGUACACACAAAUCGCUCGUCACCAGUAACUUUAACUUGGAAAGUUACUAGUGGCGCACGGAACCCCCUACGUGCUAGUGGUAAAUGCUUACCAAUGGCACACUUUAAAAUCUAGUUGUUGGUGAUAACUUUUCGAACACCACUAGCAUUUGACUUUGAUAAUGCAUCAUUUGUAUGUGCUUUAGUAGUGACGGGACGUUAUAUGUACUCGGCAUUGUAAUGUCGUGUGGAUGUCCCUCUCGAUCGAACUCACCAGUGGUUUGCUUUUACAAGUGUUCGUCAUUGGUAUAUGAUAUACCCGUCACUACUACAAAACCGAAUAGCACUAACCCCUCAUCAAUGAUCGGCCAGUGGCUAACCGUCACAUAUGAGGGCCAUCAGUGACGGGUUUCAAGUGGUGGGGCAUCAGUGAUGGGUUUCAAGUGGCGCGUAGUGAUGAAGUUUUCGAGGCUCCACUAGGUAGAUAUCACUACAAAAAACCGAUCAAGAUACCCAUUUGAAAGUGUUAAAUUAUGGAGCCAUCAUUCAUCGAGGACUUGAGCUUUGUGGUUGAGUAUGAUAGCGCCAACUAUCUGAACCUCGGGGAAAUCAGCGUUUGUGAUAUCUUUCGCUUAACUCCCUUUACUCUCUUGCAAGUUUGGUUCCGCUUCUUUAAAUUAUUAUACUUGCACGUGGGGUGUUAUAUGCGACCUCCACCUAAGCUUGGAAUACGCCAUAAACUUAAAAUUGACCAGUCCUUGCUUUUGUUACUCUAUUCAUCCUCUCUAGACUUCAAUCUAUCCUACAACGAACAAUGUGAAUAUUGAUAUCAAUUAAUGAGGACCCAUGCUAAAUUGUUGACUGCCUACAUUCACCUCUUCCACCCAAAGAAUAAGGUGAGGGAAAUCUGGCCCUAAAAAUUAUCAAUGACAAGUGGGAGCAAAAGAGGGGGUUUAAGGAUACAAUAUUUGUGGACACCUCAUACAAGUUAUUUAGUUACACCAUAGAAUUAUAUAUGCGCUUACCAAUAAUACAUAGUUGAUUAUUCUCUAGAGACCAUUUUCUCAUUUGUUAUGUUCAAACACUCUAAAAUACUCUACCGAUAUUUGUAUAUAUUUAAGGAUAUAAUGGACGAGUACAUGUAUAAAUGCACCUCUAAGAGGCCUGAAUUAAAAUUUUAAUUAAUAUGGUAUUGUUGGCUUGUUUAAAUUUAGAGUAAUCCACUAAAAUAAAAUGUUUCUACAAUGAAAAAUAUUUUUUAUUUAGCUAAGGAGGAUGAAAUUUUAAUGAUACAUUCUAGAACUGUAUGCCAAAUAUGUAACUUAAUAUGCAUGACCUUGAUUUCAUUGUUAAUUUUGAUAAAUAUAUAUUUAAAAAUAUUACCUAAGAAAAAAUGACAAAUGUUGUAUAUAAAAAUGAUAUACAAUAAUGACAAGACCAGUUGUGGAGAAGUAAAGAAGUUCAGUACAAACAGUCAAGAAUUCUCGGAUUGAUUUGUCGAAGAACUAUAAAGUAGUUGGAUGAGACAUUAACUUAAUAGUUUACUGGGAGAAAAUGCAUUAACGAACAAAAUGGAGGCCUUUCCCACAACCAAACAUUCCUACAGUACAAGCAGGAGGUGGGUAUCCAUGCAGAAGAGGGCAUGGAAGAAUGGAUCUCACCGUAGAGGGCAGUAGGACGGCGGUUGUCGUGGAGGAGGGAGGUCUUCGACCCAAUGAGCUGGCCUUGGGCGACCGUCGACAGGGCCUGAGGGAGAUGACAAAACCUCAUCCGAUGGUGGUGGUUGGGUGACGAUGGUGGAGGAAGAGCUAAGCCUCUCGGAUCUCGCAGCGAUGGAAGGGUUGGGGUUCCCUAUCUCGCCAUAGCGCUCGAAAUGGAGAAAUUGUGAUGGGGUAGGCGACAAAAUGGGAAAUCGGAUUCUAGGUUUUCUUCCGGGACCACACCUUGUUGUAUUUGUUUGGUUGUGCUUUUGGGUGUCGUUAUGUGGCCUAUCGCACACUCACAUGGGCUGGCCCAUGUAACGAUGUCACAAAAAGUUAACAUAUCUUAAAAUUUGAGAAUAUGCUUUAGAAAUAGGAACAUUUUAUCAAUACUUGAGAACAAAAAACCGAAUAGUUUUCAGCUCGUACAUUCUUUACAAUUUCAGACCCCCCCCCCUCCCCCCCAAUGCAANNNNNNNNNNNNNNNNNNNNNNNNNNNNNNNNNNNNNNNNNNNNNNNNNNNNNNNNNNNNNNNNNNNNNNNNNNNNNNNNNNNNNNNNNNNNNNNNNNNNNNNNNNNNNNNNNNNNNNNNNNNNNNNNNNNNNNNNNNNNNNNNNNNNNNNNNNNNNNNNNNNNNNNNNNNNNNNNNNNNNNNNNNNNNNNNNNNNNNNNNNNNNNNNNNNNNNNNNNNNNNNNNNNNNNNNNNNNNNNNNNNNNNNNNUUUACAACCCUAACAUUUUUUAAAAUUCAAAAAAAAAUCAUAGGACAACCGCACUGUUAAGAGGGUUCGAGGUGUUUGAGCUAGUUUGAGAGCACACCUAACCUAUACACAUCGCCUCUUGGUGUGGCACAUCGACAUUGGUGUAAAACCCUAGGCUUUUCUCACCCGUACGUGUUGGGACCCCCGGGUCCCUAGAGUCCACGAGCCUCUUCUCCAAGUGAUGUUCGUGAUGUGGAUGGAACCAAAGAAACUCUCUUCCUACCUAAACUCCAUUUUCUCUUCAGUACCUUAUUUGGGGCAAUUGUGUUACAAAAAUAAUAUGAACAUUUCACAUUUGCAUGAACUUGCCGAUUGAUAAAGUUAUAUUGUUGGAAGAAAAAAAUAUUAUGAGUAGGAAAAUAAUACUCCCUGCGAUCGGAAAUAAGUGGCUAAUUUGAACUAAAACAAUGACACUUAUUCCCGAUCGGAGGGAAAAAAUCGUUAGUAAAAUGAAGAUAAUUUUUGGGUAUAGCAAGUUUCGAAGAGCAAGCCAGUGUGUAUACGAUGUAAAAUCCAAACUGGAGGAAAAAAAGAAAACGUGUUUCAUCAUCGAGACAACAACAAAGUAUUUAUUUUACUUCCAGGGGAUAUGUUCCAGUCUAACAUGGCCCUCGGCGCAAUUCCGCCGCUCUAUCAUGAUGACUAUGCCAUUGCGGAGUCGAACAUGCCGUUCCCAAUCCACCUUCGAUGACAGGUACUAUUUUAGGGAUGUUCAAUAUUCGGCUUUGGGGUUAGGCUUGUUUUUGCAAUGGUUUGAUCAGAGUAGCUCCUAGUUGUCGGGAAAACCUAUUUGCUUGAUGAGGACAAUAAGAUUACAUCAGGCACUUGGGCAUCAUUCAUCCUAAAGUAAUGUGUUCUGUUUGUCUCGAGCUGUUUUCUUUCUUCUUUUUUUUGCUCUGCAAUGUCCCAACAUUCAAUCACUGGACUUCUUCCUACCCUAAUACGUUUGUGAAAGCUUUGCCUAGAUCAGUGUCGGAUAAUAUUCCCUGUUUAUUUUUGGUUCAAUUUUCCAUUCCUCGAUCUAAGGUAAUUCAUUUUGAGAACUUUUAACCAUUGCACCCAAGCUUCAAAAAUAUGGUCAAAUCUGCUUAGCAGCUGCCUAUUCACUCAACAGGCUGCUAUUAUUCUCGGUACGAGAAUGAAGCCAGAGAGAACAUCCAAUUGUACAAGCAUUGUUUAAGGGUAUAAGAAGUCAUGAGAUAAUUAGAUGUGUCUUUACUAGCUACAUGCAUAUGAUGUUAAAUUACACUGUUUCUUAAUAUUCAUUUUAAAUUAUAACUUGAUUUAUAAUAUUUUUAGUACUAUCAAAAAAAAAUUCUAUGCAUGUGAAUCCCAUAUCUGGUUAUAAUAUCAAAUGAAACAUGUGUUGCACGUGGAUGCUUACUACUCCCUCCCUUCGAAAUUACUCGUCAUGGUUUUAGUUCAAAUUUGAACUAAAACCACGGCGAGUAAUUUGGAAUGGAGGGAGUUUUUAGUACUCUCUCCGUCCGAAAAACUUGUCCCUCAUGUGGAUGUAUCUAACACCAAGUUAAUACUAGAUACAUCCACGUGAGGAACAAAUCUGAGACAAGCUUUUUCAAAUGGAGGAAGUAAGAUCAACAUUUGAGACGUGCACGUGCAAGUCUCUAGCCGGUUGGUUUAGUAUUUAUCCCGUUCAGUGUCACGACCUACUGCAAGCUCAUGUGGGUGCAUUUGCCCACCUGAGCCCCGACGCCGGAGAACAGGACAUGUGUAAACAAAGCUUGGGCUUAAGGCGGUAAAGACAUCUCUUUUAGUGAAUGACAUGAUGGUCCCACAUCCCCAAUUCACCCAUGGAGCUUCAUUUCUUGGGAGCUUAGAAACGGUAAAGAUCAUAAGCCUGCCCUUGACCACCUACUUUUCUCCUAACCCUCCACAACUACAUCACGAGAAUAAGCACGAUCAGAACUCGAAGAAAUCGGUGGCGGCACGGGGAGAAAAUAAAAUCAGAAGCCGGUAAGCUUACAAAGGCGACGACUACUCCCCCAAAUGCAUUUCGACAGUUGGAAAUCAUAGUAACAGAAACCAAGAAAUUUUUGGCAACCAUUCAGCCGAAGGCGAUCCUGCUCCGAAAAGGAAAAACUGUACAGGUUUACAAAUAAUGUACAUCAACAAUCUCUCGUUUUUUUUCUCCCUUCUUCGGUGGGAGGAACCAAGACGGAUUUUUCGGCUUCCACAAAAAAAUUCCUGUCUACGGGGCUUAUUCACCCUUUCAAUGUAUAUGGCAUCUCUUUCCUGGUCUCUGUUGUCGCUUUGUUCCAUAUUUACAUACGGACGAGGGACGACGUAGUUUCGCGCACACAGAUCAUAAGAAGCUCAAAGAACACUUGGCCGCCAAAGUUGACAGAUGAACCACAGCUGCUUCUUCCAUCCCAAUGAUUUUGUUCAAGCGAGCACCUGG
rnacentral:lncRNA from 1 species